rnacentral:lncRNA from 1 species
AAAUUUUCCCAAAGGUUCCCUUUUUAAUUUAAUUUUUAAUUUGGCUUAGGCAGAUAAAAAAAUUUUGUUUAAUGAAAUAAUACUCUGAAUUUUAUAUCAGAUAUUAUCAAAAUUUUUUUACACAUAAGAAUUGUCAUUAGCUCUACGAGAUUAGAUUGGAAGAAAAUUGUAAUUUGUUUCUCAGUCUCAAAAGAAAUUAGUUAAAACAAAAAGGCAAGUUUUUGUUUGCUGGAAAAUAACAUGAUUUUGAUUGUUCAAAUUAAUGUUCUAAUUAUCAAUUUAAAUGUCAUUGAAAUAUAAAUUAGAAAAACAUCAUGACGAAAUCAAAAUUAGUAAUGGCAAGUUUUUCAGUCAAAACAAAUAAAUAAAUAAAUAAACAAACAAAAUUGAUGUUGUCAUAUUGAUGAUGGGGGUAGCUCUAACAUCUCUCUUUACACCAACCAAAAUUUAACAUGAAUCCCUCAUUUUUUUUAAAUAAAAAAAAAAUAAUUAUGGCUAAUAUUUGAAUGAAGAUUGUAGUUGACAUGAUCUAUUUUGAAGUUGAGCGCAACAAAACCAUCAAAUAAAUGCACUUAUGCUGCGUUUACUUUUUGGAUUGGAGUGAGAAUCCUUGGAUUAGGAGUGUGGAGUGAGAGUGGGAGUAUGGUGUUUACUUAGACUAAAUGAAAGUAUGUAUUGUCAAUCAAAAUCCCAAUUAUUUGUUUACUUUGUCUUGGAUUGGGAGUAAAUUAUUUUAAAUUACAAUUUUAUCCUUAUG